rnacentral:tRNA from 1 species
GCGGAUGUGGUGAAAUUGGUAGACACGCCAGACUUAGGAUCUGGUGCCGCGAGGUGUGUGGGUUCGAGUCCCUCCAUCCGCA